rnacentral:rRNA from 1 species
UACGUAGGGGGCAAGCGUUGUCCGGAUUUAUUGGGCGUAAAGAGCUCGUAGGCGGCCUGUCGCGUCGGCUGUGAAAACCCGAGGCUCAACCUCGGGCCUGCAGUCGAUACGGGCAGGCUAGAGUUCGGUAGGGGAGACUGGAAUUCCUGGUGUAGCGGUGAAAUGCGCAGAUAUCAGGAGGAACACCGGUGGCGAAGGCGGUUCUCUGGGCCUUACCUGACGCUGAGGAGCGAAAGCGUGGGGAGCGAACAGG